GAUGAACGCUGGCGGCGUGCCUAAUACAUGCAAGUCGAGCGAACGGACGAGAAGCUUGCUUCUCUGAUGUUAGCGGCGGACGGGUGAGUAACACGUGGAUAACCUACCUAUAAGACUGGGAUAACUUCGUGAAACCGGAGCUAAUACCGGAUAAUAUUUUGAACCGCAUGGUUCAAAAGUGAAAGACGGUCUUCCUGUCACUUAUAGAUGGAUUCGCGCUGCAUUAGCUAGUUGGUAAGGUAACGGCUUACCAAGGCAACGAUGCAUAGCCGACCUGAGAGGAUGAUCGGCCACACUGGAACUGAGACACGGUCCAGACUCCUACGGGAGGCAGCAGUAGGGAAUCUUGCGCAAUGGGCGAAAGCCUGACGGAGCAACGCCGCGUGAGUGAUGAAGGUCUUCGGAUCGUAAAACUCUGUUAUUAGGGAAGAACAUAUGUGUAAGUAACUGUGCACAUCUUGACGGUACCUAAUCAGAAAGCCACGGCUAACUACGUG
rnacentral:rRNA from 1 species